CGGUCCUAAGGUAGCGAAAUUCCUUGUCGGGUAAGUUCCGACCUGCACGAAUGGCAUAAUGAUGGCCACACUGUCUCCUCCCGAGACUCAGUGAAGUUGAAAUGUUUGUGAUGAUGCAAUCUCCCCGCGGCUAGACGGAAAGACCCCAUGAACCUUUACUGUAGCUUUGCAUUGGACUUUGAACCGAUUUGUGUAGGAUAGGCGGGAGGCAGAGAAAGCGCAACGCCAGUUGUGCCGGAGCCGACGUUGAAAUACCGCCCUGAUUUGUUUGAGGUUCUAACCGCGACCCGUGAGCCGGGUCCGGGACCGUGCAUGGCAGGCAGUUUGACUGGGGCGGUCUCCUCCUAAAGGGUAACGGAGGAGUACAAAGGUACGCUAGGUACGGUCGGAAAUCGUGCUGAUAGUGCAAAGGCAAAAGCGUGCUUGACUGCGAGACCGACAAGUCGAGCAGAUGCGAAAGCAGGUCUUAGUGAUCCGGUGGCUCUGUAUGGAAGGGCCAUCGCUCAACGGAUAAAAGGUACUCUGGGGAUAACAGGCUGAUACCGCCCAAGAGUUCAUAUCGACGGCGGUGUUUGGCACCUCGAUGUCGGCUCAUCUCAUCCUGGGGCUGUAGCCGGUCCCAAGGGUAUGGCUGUUCGCCAUUUAAAGAGGUACGUGAGCUGGGUUUAAAACGUCGUGAGACAGUUUGGUCCCUAUCUGCCGUGGGCGCUGGAAGAUUGACGGGGGCUGCUCCUAGUACGAGAGGACCGGAGUGGACGCACCUCUGGUGUACCGGUUGUCACGCCAGUGGCAUCGCCGGGUAGCUAUGUGCGGAAGAGAUAACCGCUGAAAGCAUCUAAGCGGGAAACUUGCCUGAAGAUAAGUCUUCCCGGAGGCUAGACCUCCCUGAAGAGUCGUUCGAGACCAGGACGUUGAUAGGUCGGGUGUGUAAGCGUUGUGAGACGUUUAGCUAACCGAUACUAAUUGCU
rnacentral:rRNA from 1 species